GAUGAACGCUGGCGGCGUGCCUAAUACAUGCAAGUCGAACGCAUUGUGGUUGAAAUGAUAUGAAGAACUUGUUCAGAUUUGAUUUUCAACAUUGCAAUGAGUGGCGAACGGGUGAGUAACACGUGGGAAACCUACCUCUUAGCAGGGGAUAACAUUUGGAAACAAAUGCUAAUACCGUAUAAUAAUUAAAACCGCAUGGUUUUAGUUUAAAAGAUGGUCUUGCUAUCACUAAGAGAUGGUCCCGCGGUGUAUUAGUUAGUUGGUGAGGUAAUGGCUCACCAAGACAAUGAUACAUAGCCGAGUUGAGAGACUGACCGGCCCACAAUGGGACUGAGACACGGCCCAUACUCCUACGGGAGGCAGCAGUGGGAAUCUUCCACAAAUGGGACGAAAGUCUGAUGGAGCAACG
rnacentral:rRNA from 1 species